rnacentral:rRNA from 1 species
CCUACGGGUGGCUGCAGUGGGGAAUAUUGCACAAUGGGGGAAACCCUGAUGCAGCGACGCCGCGUGAGUGAAGAAGUAUUUCGGUAUGUAAAGCUCUAUCAGCAGGGAAGAAACCCACCCUCCGGGGUGGCUGACGGUACCUGACUAAGAAGCCCCGGCUCACUACGUGCCAGCAGCCGCGGUAAUACGGAGGUGGCAAGCGUUAUCCGGAUUUACUUGGUGUAAAGGGAGCGAAGGUGGCAAGGCAAGGCAGGUGUGAAAACCCGGGGCCCAACCCCGGGAGUGCGUUUGAAACUGUCUGGCUGGAGUGCAGGAGAGGUAAGUGGAAUUCCAGGUGUAGCAGUGAAAUGCGUAGAUAUUAGGAGGAACACCAGUGGCGAAGGCGACUAUCUGGACUAUAACUGACGCUGAGGCUCGAAAGCGUGGGGAGCAAACAGGAUUAGAUACCCUGGUAGUC